rnacentral:misc_RNA from 1 species
AGAGCAUCUCUACUGGUAAGUGCAGCUUCUGGAUCCAGCCAUUUGGUGAUGGUUUCAUCACGAGUAACAAUAACGCGUUUGCAAAGGGAAUCCUCCAGAGACUUUACGUCACACAUGAAUAGCUCUGCAGCAGUUCUCAGAUGAAACCAAGACUUCUCAUCUUUGGGCACUGAUGAGUCUAUUUCCUUCCCCUUCGCAAAUUCUAUGUUUCCAAGAUGGAGAAUUGCAGCCACUACUCGAAAUAUUGCAUCCUGCUCCUCAGAACUUAUUCCAACAACAUCCAUUGCCCUUCUUGUAGCUAAGUAUUCUUUGGCAUCAUCAAGCCCAUCUAACUCAUAGCAAUUCGUCUGAUUGAGAUAGUGAAAUGUCCUGGGAUUGUCUAAUUUGAACCUUUGAAUGUCCUCCGGUGGAGCAGCACAAAGCAUGUAGAAACAAUGAUAAUUUCUCUCAGGAUCAGACAACUGGCAAACACGAGAUCUUUCGAGUAAAUAUGUUCUGACAGCAGCUCCUGAAAUCCUUCCCUUUUGGUCAAACUGGAUCUCCACAAACUUGCCAAAUCGACUUGAG